UUCCUACUACUCCUGCUACUACAACUCCUGCUACUACAACUCCUGUUCCUACUACUCCUGCUACAGCUACCUAUACUACUGCUGCUUUUGCUACUGAUACUUUUCCUCCGUAUACUACUGCUGCUUAUGCUACUGAUACUUUUCCUCCGUAUACUACUGCUGCUUAUGCUACUUAUACUUUUCCUACUGCUGCUACUGCUGCUUAUGCUACUGAUACGUUUCCUACUGCUGCUACUACUGCUUUCGCUACUGCUCUUGCACCUACUACUGCUCCUGCCACUCUUACUCCUGCCAAAACCAACAGCCGACAAAAUCAAAAUGCAACAAGAAUAUACAUGCGGAUGAAGAUAAACAGCAGUGAGAAUUUGUCAGACGCUACAGUGAUGGAGAACUUCCUCGAGAAGAUUAAAAACUCCAGCGCAGAGUUUUCAAGGUUACAUCUUACAUGGACUCUCCAACCACGAAUGAUGGAAAAUAAACAUAAACCAUGGGUGUCUAAAAUGUGUCCCAAGUACACCUGGUGAAGGAUAAGAAAAGGAAAGGAAAGGAAAGAAAAAGUAGUUGUUUAACUUCGGUGGGUGAUGGGGGGGAUAAAAAUGUGAGCACCUUUUAGCAUAUGUCUUCGGUGUUUGGGAAUACUGUACAUUUAGCUAUCUUGUAGUAUGUACGUUUAUUUACUACAUCGGAUUUGUUUUCUGAGAUAAAAUUUGAGAGGAAACAAUGUUAUCCGUUGACACUCAUGGAGGACACAAUAUUUGAGGUUUUGCACCUUCUUUCCUCAAAAAACCCAAUAUAAAGUACUGGUAGUCCCCGACCUAGGAUGGAGAUGCUUUCCGAUGACCCCAUCAUAGCUUGAAAAUAUCCCACUUUGAGAUGGCCCAGCCUACCCAGGAGUCUUAAAGAAAGGUGUAUCAGUAUGGGGUAGUAUACUGUAAUUUGUGAACAAUUUUACAAAUUAAAGUACAUAAUAAAACAAAAAUACAGAGCAAUUUACAGUACAGUAAUGUAUAAACUUUACAGUAUAUAUUGUAUGUGUGUGGCAGUGGGCACAUGGACAGUUCGUGAGUUGAGGGCGGAGCCGAACAAAAAGAGUGUUGAUAUAACGCAUAAAAAUAUGCACUCUAACACCGUCGACCGCUGGCGAGAGUAAGGCAUCUCAGAACGUAUCGUACCACAUAUGCUGCUACAUUUGCCUGCUGCACAAAACAAAAUAUUUUCCCAAUUUUGCCAUAUUGCUUUCAUCAUUGUAAGAUCGAAAAAUCCUAAAAUCAAACCAGAUCGUAACUCAGGGACUACCUGUAAUUUCUAAUAUACUGGGACAUCAGAAUCUUCAGGCCUAAUAAGUGAUAAGUCAAACUUUACUUAGAAUUUGGAGUUGAACUGAUGACAAUAACAAUCUUUAAUUAAGCAUAAAAUUGUAUUUUAUUAUUUGUUUUCAUCGGUUGAAAUUAUCAUUAAGAAAAAAACCUGUGAUUGUCAUUAAUGCUGUAAGAUAUGAAUAAAAAAAUGGUAGAAAUGUUAAAAUGUGUAUAUGUAGCCAUUUUCUUUGUGUAUUAUAUUCAUAGAAUAUUAGAAUAAAGGGAUUAUUAAACUUUUUCAAAGCCUGUUAUUGAAAUUUGUGCCACGCUUAUUAGUAUACUUAAUGAAAAUAAAGGUUAAAACCAAUGAAAUG